rnacentral:lncRNA from 1 species
UAUCAGUAACUCAGGGGAAAGAAGGAAAAAUGGUAUCUUUUUAUCCAUUUAGCACAUUAUUUAUGGAAAGUCACAAAUGUGGCUCAUCUGUUGGGUUGCAGUCUACUCGGGGUCUGAUUGUUCUGGGCUCCCACCUGGACAGGGAGCAGAGCUGCACAGCCUCCCUGCCCAGGCUAUGCCCACCACAGACACCAUGCCAGAGGAGGGGAGUGAGGCAAGGUGUUCACAUUGCAGAUGAGAUGAAAGGAGGUAGAGGAAAGGAGUGGUACCCAGUGGUGAGCAGCGUACCUUUCCUGAAAACAAAAAGCUGUCAAACAUUGAACGGAGAGCAGGGCACUGCACAGUGUGUUUCAGCCUGGCUCAGUAGAGCCGAAACAGUGAGAAAUCAGUCCUGGUUCCUUGGGACCUGCUGAAGCAGUGCCAGGAACUAGACACAAUUCUGGCUGCCUUAACCACUGCCUUUGAGAGCUACAGCUGAGAAAAGCCGCUGCCAGGAAGAAGUGAAUAGAACUAACAAGGCUAUUGAGCUGGCCAACAGAUUAGUGAAAGGUCUGAG